GCUCUCGUAGUUCAAAAGGAUAGAACAGGGAUCUCCUAAGUCCUCAAUCCAGGUUCAAUUCCUGGCGAGAGCA
rnacentral:tRNA from 1 species